GAGGCGCAGAAGAAGCCGCAGCCCCCUUUCGCUUGGCAGAGCCUUUACAGCGACACUUUUAAAACAAAGACAAUUGCACCCGGUAAUAACAGGUAUACAAUACUGAGCAAGUACAAAAGGAAACCAAUCAAGAUUAUACGAUAUUUGUACAAUACUCCCAAACAAGAAAACAGAACCUACAUGCUAACGUACAUAGCACCCAAAGUACUGUUCGACACGUUGAAGAGGUCAAAAUUAUUGUUCACAUAAGGUAUAUACAUAUUCGUAUAGCGCUACCAAUCCCUGCAAAAUAUAGAAUGCAGAUUUUCAUUACACACACGCACGCACGCACGUGCACAGCACACACACCAAAAGAAAACGGCAACGCGCUCACAGGAAGCGCCUGAAAAACGAAAAAAAAGGAAAAGUGUGGGGAACCGAGGUCGUCUUGGGCUGUCGCCUCUCCCUCUCCCAGAAGGAAUGGAGAGGUUCUUGGAAAGCAGGGACGGGCGAUUCUCUCUGUCAGCAUCAGCUCCCACCAGCGAGGACGGGGCGAGAAAGCGAAACGGGACUUUCCUUGCUGUCUAUUUUUUCUUCGUCAGGCCAACGCCGCUUGCUUGCAGGGGCGCAGGCGAGUUCCCGCCAAAUGGCGCGGGUGCGUGAGUUGCCGCCAAAUGCUAGCUCUGGAUGCCAGCUCGUUCCGCGUCUCAUGGUAGACUAGUUGGUGCAUUUCUGUUAUCAUGGACGGCGCAUAUAAACGCAAGCUACACAAAAGUGACUUGGACAAGAACAGCGCAAGCCCUUUACAUGCAGUGGAGCCGCCGUAUCUCGCCGUUCAAGAUAUGCGUACUCGUAAGUGGCAUUUUAAUUUCACGUUGUGUAAUGCAUGACUGUCUUUUUCAAGUGAACAAAGGUCGCUUUGUAUUGUGUAAAUGGUUUUGCAACGUAUGAUAAACUCCUUGUCUUUCGGGCUUAUUUUUUCUGACAGGAAGAAAAAAAAAAGAGGCUUUACAUGAGAACGGAUCAAGCGUUCGAGAGUUGGGACAGGGAAAUGUGAGACGUACUUUCAUGUAUAUAUUUCUAAUAUUAUUUUUUCGUCUUGUAUUCUCGUUAAUUUUUCUCUAGGAAACACUGGAACGACACUGCUUAAAUUGAAGCACAGCGUGCGAAUGACCUGCUACGCUCGGAACUGUUAUCACCAUUCGGGAAGAAAUUGGAUGAAAAAACAACUGUAAAUACCUGUAUGAUAUACGUCUGGUGCAUUGCAGGUAAGAAUGGAUUGUGUGUGGCGCGCUUCACCGCAUGUGGACUAGAGUAGAUCUAGGAACAUCAGACAAGAAGACACGUAUGUGAAACCCUGCGGAUAGCCCAUAUGUGAACUUUUUUUCCAGAUACGGAGGAACGGACACCGGUCGUGUCGUGAGCACUAUUCUGCAGGGCAUACUUACAAAUGAAGCUGCACUGCAGUUCAGCUGGAAAGGGUCGCAGGGGAGGAAGCACGCCUUCGUGAAGCUCAUGGCCAUCACGAAUAUAACAUCUGUGAGGAGCACGUUCCCUGACGCUUCACUAUAGCAUCAGUGGCUGGAGUCGCAAAACGCUGGUUGGUUGGAGCAGCUGACAGGGAUGGAGGCCGGAAUGAAAGAAGGCGCCGUGACCCUGCUUCAAGCCCACCAAAUAUGAACUAGUGUUUGAAACUUGUGAACGUGUCGGUGUACAUAUACAAUUACAAGAAAUAAAGACCUGUAUCAGAA